rfam:Triticum aestivum genome assembly, contig: Triticum_aestivum_CS42_TGACv1_scaffold_499389_6BL
GGAACUCGGCAAAAUAGCCCCGUAACUUCGGGAGAAGGAGUGCCCCCUCACAAAAGGGGGCCGCAGUGACCAGGCCCGGGCAACUGAAGGAUUUCUAGGGCAAUGCC